UGCCCUGCAACUCCUGUCCCUACUUCCGCGUGGCACUGGCCGGACUGUAAGCAAUCAGGGAAGGUCGGAUUACCAACCUCGGUGGGAACUUUGGUCGUAGGCUGACAGGGAAGG
rnacentral:ribozyme from 1 species